AUUGAACGCUGGCGGCAGGCUUAACACAUGCAAGUCGAGCGAGCGGCGGACGGGUGUGUAAUGUCUGGGAAACUGCCUGAUGGAGGGGGAUAACUACUGGAACCGGUAGCAAUUACCGCAUACCAUCAGAUGUGCCCUGAGGGGAUUAGCUAGUAGGUGGGGUAAUGGCUCACCUGGGCGACGAUCCCUAGCCGGUCUGAGAGGAUGACCAGCCACACUGGAACUGAGGCACGGUCCAGACUCCUAGGGGAGGCAGCAGUGGAGAAUAUGGGACAAUGGGCGCAAGCCUGAUGGAGCCAUGCCGCGUGUGUGAAGGAGGCCUUCGGGUUGUAAAGCACUUUCAGCGAUGAGGCGUUACUCGCAGAAGAAGCACCGGCUAACUCCGUGCCAGCAGCCGCGGUAAUUC
rnacentral:rRNA from 1 species